CGACGUAGGUAACCUGCCUGGUAGCGGGGGAUAACUAUUGGAAACGAUAGCUAAUACCGCAUAAUAGCAGUUAUUGCAUGAUAACUGUUUGAAAGGUGCAAUUGCAUCACUACCAGAUGGACCUGCGUUGUAUUAGCUAGUUGGUGGGGUAACGGCUCACCAAGGCGACGAUACAUAGCCGACCUGAGAGGGUGAUCGGCCACACUGGGACUGAGACACGGCCCAG
rnacentral:rRNA from 1 species